rnacentral:rRNA from 1 species
AUUGAACGCUGGCGGCAGGCCUAACACAUGCAAGUCGAACGAGUGGCGGACGGGUGAGUAAUGUCUGGGAAACUGCCUGAUGGAGGGGGAUAACUACUGGAAACGGUAGCUAAUACCGCAUACCAUCAGAUGUGCCCAGCUGGGAUUAGCUAGUUGGUGGGGUAACGGCUCACCAAGGCGACGAUCCCUAGCUGGUCUGAGAGGAUGACCAGCCACACUGGAACUGAGACACGGACCAGACUCCUACGGGAGGCAGCAGUGGGGUAUAUUGGGCAAUGGGCGCAAACAUGACGCAGCCAUGCCGAGUGUAUGAAGGAGGCCUUCGGGUUGUAAAGUACUUUCAGCGGGGAGGCGUUACCCGCAGAAGAAGCACCGGCUAACUCCGUGCCAGCAGCCGCGGUAAUUC